UUGAAAUCCCAUUUAGAAAUUCUUCUUUUGUAAAUGAAAAAUUCUCGUGAGCAUUCCAGGAAGGAAGGCUAGCGAACUCGAGCCAGGACGGCGAGUGUGAGCAUCAGAGAAUUUUUACUUACAAAAGAUUAGAAUUUCUUAAAGGAAUUUAAU
rfam:Clostridium estertheticum subsp. estertheticum strain DSM 8809, complete genome.